UACGGGGGGGCAAGCGUUGUUCGGAAUUACUGGGCGUAAAGGGCUCGUAGGUGGCCAACUAAGUCAGACGUGAAAUCCCUCAGCUUAACUGGGGAACUGCGUCUGAUACUGGAUGGCUUGAGUUUGGGAGAGGGAUGCGGAAUUCCUGGUGUAGCGGUGAAAUGCGCAGAUAUCAGGAGGAACACCGAUGACGAAGGCAGCUCGCUGGGACGGUACUGACGCUGAGGCGCGAAAGCGUGGGGAGCAAACAGG
rnacentral:rRNA from 1 species